UGGCUCUGUGAGGUCGGCUCA
rnacentral:miRNA from 2 species